rnacentral:rRNA from 1 species
ACACGACUACAUUAGAUACCCCCGUAGUCCCAGCCCUAAACGAUGCGCGUUAGGUGUAUCGGUGACCACGAGUCACCGAGGUGCCGAAGGGAAACCGUGAAACGUGCCGCCUGGGAAGUACGGUCGCAAGGCUGAAACUUAAAGGAAUUGGCGGGGGAGCACCACAACGGGUGGGGCUUGCGGUUUAAUUGGAUUCAACGCCGGAAAUCUUACCGGGACCGACAGCAACAUGAAGGCCAGGCUGAAGACUUUGCCGGAUUAGCUG